rnacentral:rRNA from 1 species
AAUUUUGGACAAUGGGGGAAACCCUGACCCAGCCAUCCCGCGUGUAUGAUGAAGGCCUUCGGGUGGUAAAGUACUUUUGGCAGAGAAGAAAAGGUACCUCCUAAUACGAGGUACUGCUGACGGUAUCUGCAGAAUAAGCACCGGCUAACUACGUGCCAGCAGCCGCGUUAAUAGGUAGGGUGCAAGCGUUAACCGGAAUUACUGGGCGUAACGCGUGUAUAGGGCGUUCGGAAAGAAAGGUGAGAAAACCCAGGGCUCAACCUUGGAAAUGCAUUUUUAACUGCCGAGAUAGAGUAUGUGAGAGGGGGGUAGAAUUCCACGUGUAGCAGUGAAAUGCGUAGAUAUGUAGAAGAAUACCGAUGGCGAAGGCAGCCCCCUGGGAUAAUACUGACGCUCAGACACGAGAGCGUGGGGAGCAAACA